GGAAGAUGCUCCAACAGUAUUUAUUACGUUCCCAACCACACCAAAGAAGUUAGUAAUAGGGAUGUUCUUCUUUGCAACAGCCACAAGCGCAAGUUGGAGUUGAUGAGCAAAACAGUGAAUGUAAAAGGCACAUGGACUCUCAUUCAAAAUGAGUGUUUUCAGACCAUUAAACUUACCUUGCAUAUUACUUGCUCCAUCAUAACCUUGUCCUCUCAAUCUAGACAUACUCAAGUUAUAUCUAGAAAAUACCUUAUCAAUUGCAGCCUUAAGUGAUAGAGCCGUGGUACUUGUAACAUGUUCAAUCCCUAUGAAGCGUUCAUUGACACGCCCACUAUUGUCUACAUAACGUAAAAUAAUAGACAUUUGCUCCUUCAUUGACACAUCACAAGAUUCAUCAACUAGAAUAGAAAAUAGCGAGUCACCAACAUCUUUGAUAAUAACAUUGAUCGUUUCAAUAGCACAAGCAUUUACUAUAUCCUUUUGAACAUCAGGUGAUGUCAAUUUGCAAUUGUGAGGAGCAUUUCCCAAUGUGACGGCAUUGAUAACUUCAUUAUGAGCAGCCAAAAAUUGAUAUUGCACUAAGAAGUUACCUGGAUUGAGAGAAUCCUCAGAUUCAUCAUGACCUCGAAAUGAGUGCCCUUGUCGCAAAAGAACUCGAACACAAUCAAUGGAUGCAUUAAGGCGUGUAACAUAUGCAUUUCUUGCUUGUUCUGACUGUUUGUAGAAAAUUGAUUGAAUGUGUUGCUCUUGAUUCAUCAACACUUCACAUUUAAUGCGAGCUUGAUUAUGUGCACUAUCAUGAAGCCCAACAUGAGUAUGAA
rnacentral:lncRNA from 1 species